AUGUCUCUGGGGUUUCUGUCACCCCGAGUAAGCAGGAGGGCAAAGCUUAGAAGUGAGGCAUUUCCAAGAUUAAUAGCUCUGGGUGGUGCAGGGAGCAACCAUUCUCUACCAAGACAGUUUUCCCUUAAUUUCUAUUACGCUUGUGGUGGCUUCUGUCCCACAUGGCUGAUGUCCAUCUACCCUGUAUGUCUGUCUCCAGCCGGGAUGGCAAAGGACGGGGGAUGGAGCAGCCUCUCUGCCAGCGGCCUUCUUGUCCUGCUCUUCCUGAAGCUCCCGCCUGUGGGAAACGGGAAGGCGGACUUCCAAGUGCUGGGGCCCCAGGACCCCGUGCUGGCUGUGGUGGGCGAGGAAGCAGAGCUGCGCUGCUGGCUGUCUCCCAGGAUCAGCGCGCACAGCAUGGAGCUGCGCUGGUUCCGCGAGGAGCUGUCGCCCGCCGUGCAUGUUCGCCGCGCAGGGCGGGAUGAGCCCGAGGAGCAGAUGCGCGAGUAUCGCAAUAGGACGAGCUUCGUGGACCGGGACAUGGCUGGGGGCCAGGCCGCGGUGCGCAUCCACCGGAUCACCAUGUCGGACAACGGCAGCUACCACUGCCUCUUCACGGAAGACAGGGCCCAUGCCAGCACCACCCUGUGGCUGCAAGUGGCAGGGCUGGGCUCCAGGCCCCGAAUCCAAGCGAUCCACACCCAAGACAGAGGUGUCUGGGCAGAGUGUGCUUCUGAGGGCUGGUACCCAGAGCCCUGGGUAGAGUGGAGAGACCACAGAGGACAGACAGUGCGUGCUGAGACUAACUUCUCAGUCUCGCCCACCACUGGCCUCUUGGCUGUGGUGUCCAGGGUGGCCCUCCAGGGUGGGGCUGUGGAGGCCCUGUCUUGCUCCAUCUCCAACUCCCUCCUCCCUGGGAGGAAGGUAGCUGAGAGCCAUCUGCCUGCACACCUCUCCAGAGGGUCUCAGUUCACAAAAUGGAGACUAGCCCUGCCUCUCGCCCUCCUUGCCAUGGGACUCGUGAUGGCCGGAGUCAUCUGCCUCUUUGGGAAAUGUCAAAGGAAUGCACAUAGGACACAACUGAGGCAAGAGACAGAGAGAAGAGGACAGGAGCAGAGCCAGCAAUCCAGCAUGGCGGUGGCAGCGCCACUCCAUGUGAGCCCAUAACUGGACCCCGACACCGCGAGUCCCAAACUCAUUGUGUCUGAGGAUCAGAAAAGUGUGCGGCAGCUGCUCUUCGACCAAGACCUGCCCCCUAGCACCAAGAGAUUCAAGCAGGACCUCUGUGUCCUGGCCCAACAGCGGUUCUGGGCUGGGAGGUAUUACUGGGAGGUCGAGGUCAGAGACCGGAAGGCUGGACUCUGGGCAUGUGCCAGGAAAGUGUGGGUCGGGAGGGCAGGGUACCCAAGGCCCCCCAGCAUGGCCUCUGGACAGUGGAGCUUUACAAGAAGAGAUUCCGGGCCCUCUCCUACCCCAGCAUGCACCUCUGUCCAUCCCAGCCCCUCCACAGGGUGGGCAUUUUCCUGGACUGGGAUGUGGGGGAGAUCUCCUUCUACAGUGUGGCUGAUGGCUCCCUGGUCUAUGCAUUCUGUGGACUUUUUCUGGCCCCUACAGCCAUUCCUCUGCCUCUGGACUCACGACCCCAGGCCCCUGACUAUUUUCUCAGUGGUCAGAGAGAUGCAGAAAGCCACUGGCUCCCCAACCCAGGCCUCUGACUUUCCUCAGGGAACUUCUAGGAGUCUGUUAGGUAGAUAGCAGUACCUGCCUUCUCCUUGCUCCUGCCUCUGGUGUUGGUUAUUAUAGCCUGUGUAAAAUAUUGCUAACACCUCAGGAGCUGAAUUGUGCCUCUCCUCCCAAAUCCAUAUGCUGAAGUCCUGGCCCUCAGAGCAUUGGAAAGUAGCUGCUUUUGGAGAACUGGCCUUUAAAGAGGUGAUUAAGGUAACACUAGGUCAUUUAGAUGGACCUGGCCCCAUUGGUCUUGUAUCUUCUUAGGAAGAAGAGAUUAACACAUAGGUACCCAGAGUGGAAAGACCCUGAGAGGACACAGAGAGUGACCAUUUGCAAGCCAAGGGGAAAAGCUGCUCUCUUCCUUCUCCUCUCCUUCCUCUUCCUCCUCUUCUUUCCUUCUCCUUCUCCCUUCUGUUCCUCCUCCUCUCCCCUCCUUCCCCUUAUUCUCCUCAUGUCCCUCCUUGUUCCCUUCCUACUACUCCUCUCAGAAACCAUCCAGACACCCAGUCAACCUCAAAUCCUUUUCUCUCCCUUCCAUGCCAUGACAUGCAGAAGAUGCCAUUAUUCCCAGGUUUGCCCUCGGCAUUGGUCAGAGUUCAGUCAGGACAGAAGUCACACCAACUGUUCCAUCGAGAGAACAGAUUAGGCUUGUAAUAGCAUCAGAUCUCUGUCUUCUGCGUGUCUCUGUGCUCUAACUCUCUCUAGCCUUUCCCUUAGGAGGACAGUCGUCACAGGAUUCCAAGCCUAGCCGAAGGCAAGAUGAUCUCAUCUUGAGGUUCAGGCCCUAAUUAUGCCUGCGAAGACCUGUUUUUCAAAGAAGUCCCAUUCACAGAAGUCUGUGGUGUCCCUCCGCGUACCUGACUUCUGUGGCAGCCCAUCACCACAAGCGAGGUUUCCGAGGAGCAGUGGUAUCCAGGGAAAAUGGCCGUGUGCUUAGUGGGGAAGACAGAGGAGUACACGUAAAGAACCCGGGGGUGUUGGUGGCCAGCUGAGCUUUAGGAACUUUUCUGUUAGUGAAAGACAAUGUAUGAUCAGAAGAAGAGUGUUAUUCAUUGUAAGAUUAAAAACUCAUGUUAAAAUAUAAGUUAUUUAUGUCAUUUUUAUUCCUUUCAAUCAAUACUCAUUAUCUAGGCUAUUCUUUUCUGUGGCCAACAAUUUUUGGAGAUAUGAUUUACUUUUAUAAAUAGAAUAAUCUGAAAAUUAAAUUAUUCUCAAAAAGAAUUACAACACAUGGAAAUAUGAAAUCAGCAGUGCUGUAUUUUUUUUUUUUUUUGUACCGGGGAUCGAACUCCGGUCCUUGCGCUUACAUGGCAGGCAGCAAAACCACUGAGCUAAAUCCCCCCUGUGAAGGAAGCUGGGCUGGGCUGGAAAGGACAUCCCCAGGGCUAGCUGCAGUCUUGGGCAUCUUAAUCCACAGCCUCAGUUUCCCAUCAUGAAAACUGGGCCAGCAUCCCUGCUGCCCUAGUGUGUGAGGCAGUGGAAGGGUUAGUGGAAGCAUCAAAGCAUCUGAAGUACCUGGUCCUUGGCCCCAGGGUGAGACUCAGAAGUGGACCACACGGACAGAUUCAGGCUCAGUCAAUCUGU